rnacentral:rRNA from 1 species
UGGCGGUACUUCUGACCGUGCAAAGGUAGCAUAAUCAUUUGCCUUAUAAUUGAAGGCUAGUAUGAAUGGUUUGACAAGAAUAUAGCUGUCUCUUUUUGAUUUUAUAGAAUUUUAUCUAAAGGUGAAGAAGCCUUUAUUUAAUUAAAAGACAAGAAGACCCUAUCGAGCUUUAAAACAAUAAGUAGGUUUGGUGUAUCUUAAUAGUUUUAUAAGGACAUCUGCUAAGAAUUUUAGUUGGGGCGACUAAGGAACACAAAAAGCUUCCUCUAACAAAUUUAAAUAAUUUACAGUUACUUGAUCCAAAAGUUUUUGACUAAAGGAAUUAGUUACCGUAGGGAUAACAGCAUUAUCUUCUUUAAGAGUUCUUAUCGAAAAGGAGGUUUGUGACCUCGAUGUUGGACCAGAAUAUCCUAAAGAUGCAGCAGUCUUUGAAGGUUGGUCUGUUCGACCAUUAAAAUUUCUACGUGAA